UGCCAGUGUCAAAAAUGUGGGUUAGG
rnacentral:piRNA from 1 species